rnacentral:rRNA from 1 species
AUCGCUAGUAAUCGCGGAUCAGAAUGCCGCGGUGAAUACGUUCCCGGGUCUUGUACACACCGCCCGUCACACCAUGGGAGUCGGAAAUGCCCGAAGCCGGUGGCCUAACCGAUAAGGGAGGAGCCGUCGAAGGCAGGUCUGAUGACUGGGGUGAAGUCGUAACAAGGUAAC